ACCUCGCGGGAGGCGUGCAUUUAUCAGACCAAAAACCGGCCGCGUCUUCGGGCGCGUUCGCCUUGGUGACUCUGGAUAACUUUGCGGAUCGCACGGUCUAGCACCGGCGACGGAUCAUUCAAGUGUCUGCCCUAUCAACUUUCGUCGGUACGGUAUUUGCCUACCGAGGUUCUUACGGGUGACGGGGAAUCAGGGUUCGAUUCCGGAGAGGGAGCCUGAGAAACGGCUACCACAUCCAAGGAAGGCAGCAGGCGCGCAAAUUACCCAUUCCCGACGCGGGGAGGUAGUGACGAAAAAUAACAAUGCAGGACUCGUUCGAGGCCCUGUAAUUGGAAUGAGUACACUUUAAAAGCUUUAACGAGUAUCCAUUGGAGGGCAAGUCUGGUGCCAGCAGCCGCGGUAAUUCCAGCUCCAAAAGUAUAUAUUUAAGUUGUUGCGGUUAAAAAGCUCGUAGUUGGAUUUUGGGCGCAUGCGGCCGGUCCGUCGCAAGGCGUGUACUGGACGUCCUGGCCUUCCCUCCGGUUCUCCGCCGGUGCUCUUGACUGAGUGUCGGCGGCGGCCGGAACGUUUACUUUGAAAAAAUUAGAGUGUUCAAAGCAGGCUCUCGAGCCUGGAUAAUGGUGCAUGGAAUAAUGGAAUAGGACCUCGGUUCUAUUUUGUUGGUUUUCGGAGCGCGAGG
rnacentral:ncRNA from 1 species